GAGAGCCUUGGUGGUCCACCCGCUGUGCCUUGUACGCCCCAUGACCGCAGCGAACGUCCCGCCUCCCCGAGCUCGUGUGUCCUCGGCUGUCGGGGGACCGCCUGGCGCCGGGGUGCCCUGCGGAUACCUCCGUCAAGGCCCGUCUGUGUCCGUGGCCGCCCCGGAGUCGUCGCCCUGUGCGUUGUGUCCACUUUACGGAGAAGAAGACCCAGGCUCGAAAACCAGCCAUUCCGAGGUCUUGAUCCAUUAUGUAGCUGGACUGCGGGCGUGAUAAGCGAGCCGAUCGACUAGGCACGGAUGAGUGCGGUCACCCAACUUGAACAUCGAAAGGGGACCUAGCUGGUGGAUCGGGUGGCUCGAAUCAGUUCAUGACCAGAGAGACCCAUGGAAGACCAGUCCUGGUGAGUGCAAGACAGGUGUGGAAGGGCCUGUGGCAGUGGGCUGAUCUCUUACCUGGUACCUGACCUGUGUCUUCUGUUGCCCUGGCAUCAAUGUGAGUACCCAUGCCUCUUUUCUAUCUUUCUGACACCCCAUCCUAAUUUACCCUGACUUCCUGUCCCCUGGCUAAACCCUCUUGGUCCUUUGCCUCUCAGCCUCUCUCUUUCUCCCCUCUUAUGGCCAGGUCCUCCAUCAUUGGCCUCCUCUUCACAUAUCCUUAAAUAGUUCUUGAAAACCUGUUCUUCCAUGAGCCUGACUUGUCCCUCUGAGGAAGGUGAGCACAGUGUCAGGGGUCCCAGGCCUGGACUCCCCUCACUGCACAGCACCUGUCUGUCACCAGACACUGAGGCCCUGCCAGCUCCACAUUCUGCAGAAUCCACAGAGAACUGACACUGAAAGAGACACCUGAUCAAUGCACAGCAAAUGGAGAGGUGUUCAAGGAGAGGUGUUCCCUUUUCUACCACCAAAAAAAACUUAAGAAUGGGGAAAAAAAUCCCAAGUGCAUUUUGAAGGCCUUCACCUUUGUCUCCAUCCUGAGAAAGCAGGAGUACGUUCACACCUUUGAAUGUUACAUGAGAAAGCCUCCAGCCAGACCUCUAUUUCCAUUGAGCACCAAAAUAUUUGCCCCAUAGAAAGCCCUUAUGAGGGCAGGGAGUGUGGCCCAAAAUUUUGAGCAAAAUUUUGCACUUCCCCCUGUACCAAAUCAUUCACACUGAUAAAGGACUCACAAAUGUGGAGAACGGGCAUCUCCAUUCAGAGCUCCACUCUUGUUAGCACCAGAAAAUUCACACCAGGCAACAGUUGUGCAAAUGCAGUAACUACGUGAAAACUUCCAGGAAAAUAUGAAACCUGUUUCAUGCAGUCCCCAUCAGAGAAAGGCAUGAGUACAGCUAGUGUUGGAAAACCUCCUCUCAGAGUUAAUCCUGUUUUGCAGCAGCAAGUUACCACGUUGUGAGUGAGGUAAGUAGGAGGGCAAAAAGCUGCAGCUCCUGCCUGUUCCGCGUAGAACGCUUCACACUGGAGAAGGAUCCUAUGUGUACAACUGACCUGGGAGAGGUGUCAGCCACACUUCCUUCUUCCCAAUGCCAGAAACCUCACUCUGGAGAGAAGCCUUCUGAGGGCAGGGAAUACAGUAAAGUCUUCAGCUCUCCACCCCCCUUUUUUAAUGUUUUAUUUAAAAAAUCAGCCUCUUUUUUUUAACCUUAUCCAUAUAAGAGAAUUAACACUCAAGAAAGAGCCUACAUGAGUAGCCUUCAGGCAGAAGCUGGACCUUGUAUAGAAGGACCGCCACCAGAGGAGACACUCCAGGACUGCCCUGCGCAUGGGGAAGCCUGAAGGGGCAGUGUUGUACUUUGUGACUUGUUGGGGGACUUUGGGAGAGUUGUUGCACCACUGGCUCUUAGGGAAGAAGCCCUUCUGUGUUUGAUGGUCACCUCACAAUUGCUCAGCAUAAAGCAGCCUCUGUUCCCUGUUUGCAGUGCCCUGGAGAGUGAUGGCCCUGCACCCAUUGGCAUGACGUCAUGCUGCUCUCCCAUGACUGAGUAGGGCAUGGACUUCACUCCUGCUCUGAGCAAGGGGCCUGAUGGGAUGGCUUCUGGGGGCCUUCUGGGUAAGGUUCCCAUUAUUCAUGGACAUUGUGAAGUCUGCAUUUGAUAUCAGUGAUGCCUUCAUAGAGCUGCUUCAAGUACUCAUAACAUGAUGGUUUUGUGCAUUCCUGUCAUUCAGCCCUGGUACUGUUUGACAGUGACUACAUCACUAAUUUACCUUUGAUAUUGGAGUCCUAUUUAGUGGAUGGAGUGAAUUGAGAACAUUGAAUUGAGAGGUGCUCCCAAAUUAGCCAUUGGGCUGAAAAAAGGCACAGCAGCAAGGCAUGGAGCAUGUGUCCAGCUGUGACUCAAUUUGCAUUUCUUCCCCAUGUCCCUGUGAAAUGAAAGGAUGGAAGCCUCUGUUCUGAAGCUUCUGACCUGGAGUUCUCCUGGGGAAGACAGUGUUUGGUCUGGAAGAAGCAAGAUGAUGGUCUCUGUUCCAGGGAAUACCUCCCUCCAACAAUACACCCAGUAUAAGUAUACAAUUUAAUGAUUUUUAAUUAAUGUAAAGAGUUCUGCAGCCAUUAUCUUACCCCAUUCCCAUUGCCCCAAAAAGCUCCUUAUAUCAUGUAUCAGUAUUUUAUUCCAUUUUAUUGCUGAAUGAUAUUCUCUUGUGCAGAUAUACCAAAAUGUGUCCAUCACCAAUUGAUGGACUUUUAAAUUUUUUUCAGUUCUUGGCAAUUAGAAAUAAUGCUUCUAGGAAUAUUUGCUUACAAAUCUUUGUGUAGACAUAUGUUUUCGUUUCUGUUGGGUAAAUGCCUAGGAGUGGAAUUGCUGAGUCAUAUGAUACUUUUAUGUUUAACUCUUUAGAAACUCCAAAGCCAUUUUCCAAAGUGACUGUGCCAUUAACUGUACAGUACAGUGGCAUUAAAUAAAUUCACACAGUUGUGCAACUGUCA